rnacentral:rRNA from 1 species
GGGCUGGAGCAGGUCCCAAGGGUUCGGCUGUUCGCCGAUUAAAGUGGUACGUGAGCUGGGUUUAAAACGUCGUGAGACAGUUUGGUCCCUAUCUUUUGCGGGCGUAGGAUAUUUGAGAGGAUCUGUUCCUAGUACGAGAGGACCGGAAUGGACGAACCAAUGGUGUUCCAGUUGUCGCGCCAGCGGCAUAGCUGGGUAGCUAUGUUCGGAUCGGAUAACCGCUGAAAGCAUCUAAGCGGGAAGCCGACCUCAAGAUGAGAUAUCCCUCUUGACGGAGACGUCAAGACUUAAGGCCCCUCGAAGAUUACGAGGUUGAUAGGCCGGAUGUGCACGUGCGGUAACGCAUUUAGCUUACCGGUACUAAUCGGCCGUGAGACUUAGCCACAU